rnacentral:rRNA from 1 species
UUGAACGCUGGCGGCAGGCCUAACACAUGCAAGUCGAACGGUAACAGGAAGCAGCUUGCUGCUUCGCUGACGAGUGGCGGACGGGUGAGUAAUGUCUGGGAAGCUGCCUGAUGGAGGGGGAUAACUACUGGAAACGGUAGCUAAUACCGCAUAAUGUCGCAAGACCAAAGAGGGGGACCUUCGGGCCUCUUGCCAUCGGAUGUGCCCAGAUGGGAUUAGCUUGUUGGUGGGGUAACGGCUCACCAAGUCGACGAUCCCUAGCUGGUCUGAGAGGAUGACCGGCCACACUGGAACUGAGACACGGUCCAGACUCCUACGGGAGGCAGCAGUGGGGAAUAUUGCACAAUGGGCGCAAGCCUGAUGCAGCCAUGCCGCGUGUAUGAAGAAGGCCUUCGGGUUGUAAAGUACUUUCAGCGGGGAGGAAGGGAGUAAAGUUAAUACCUUUGCUCAUGGACGUUACCCGCAGAAGAAGCACCGGCUAACUCCGU